rnacentral:rRNA from 1 species
GACGAACGCUGGCGGCGUGCUUAACACAUGCAAGUCGAACGGAAAGGCCCUGCUUUUGUGGGGUGCUCGAGUGGCGAACGGGUGAGUAACACGUGAGUAACCUGCCCUUGACUUUGGGAUAACUUCAGGAAACUGGGGCUAAUACCGGAUAGGAGCUCCUGCUGCAUGGUGGGGGUUGGAAAGUUUCGGCGGUUGGGGAUGGACUCGCGGCUUAUCAGCUUGUUGGUGGGGUAGUGGCUUACCAAGGCUUUGACGGGUAGCCGGCCUGAGAGGGUGACCGGCCACAUUGGGACUGAGAUACGGACCAGAAUCCUACGGGAGGCAGCAGUGGAGAAUAUUGCAGAAUGGGCGGAAGCCUGAUGCAGAAACGCCGCGAGCGGGAUGACGGCCUUCGGGUUGUAAACCGCUUUCGCCUGUAAUGAAGCGUGAGUGACGGUAAUGGGUAAAGAAGCACCGGCUAACUACGUG